rnacentral:rRNA from 1 species
AUUGAACGCUGGCGGCAGGCCUAACACAUGCAAGUCGAACGAGUGGCGGCCGGGUGAGUAAUGACUGGGAAACUGCCUGAUGGAGGGGGAUAACUAAUGGACACGGAAGCUAAUAACGCAUACAAACACAUGGGCCCAUAUGGGAUGUUCUUGUUGGUGGGGUAAAGGCUAAACAAGGAGACGAUCCCUAGCGGGUGUAAGAGGAUGACCAUCCACACGGUAACUGAGACACGGUCCAGACUCCGACGGGAGGCAGCAGUGGGGAAUAUUGGACAAUGGUCGCAAGCCUGAUGCAGCCAUGCCGCGUGUAUGAAGAAGGCCUUCGGGUUGUAAAGUACUUUCAGCGGGGAGGCGUUACCCGCAGAGGAAGCACCGGCUAACUCCGGGCCAGCAGCCGCGGUAAUUC